rnacentral:rRNA from 1 species
CCUACGGGGGGCAGCAGUGGGGAAUAUUGGACAAUGGGCGAAAGCCUGAUCCAGCCAUGCCGCGUGUGUGAAGAAGGCCUUCGGGUUGUAAAGCACUUUCAGUGGGGAAGAAAGCCUUGGGGCUAAUACCCUCGAGGAAGGACAUCACCCACAGAAGAAGCACCGGCUAACUCCGUGCCAGCAGCCGCGGUAAUACGGAGGGUGCGAGCGUUAAUCGGAAUUACUGGGCGUAAAGCGCGCGUAGGCGGUCUGAUAAGCCGGUUGUGAAAGCCCCGGGCUCAACCUGGGAACGGCAUCCGGAACUGUCAGGCUAGAGUGAAGGAGAGGAAGGUAGAAUUCCCGGUGUAGCGGUGAAAUGCGUAGAGAUCGGGAGGAAUACCAGUGGCGAAGGCGGCCUUCUGGACUGACACUGACGCUGAGGUGCGAAAGCGUGGGUAGCAAACAGGAUUAGAUACCCUAGUAGUC